rnacentral:rRNA from 1 species
AUGGCUCAUGCCGCCGACGCGAGGUCGCGCUGCGUCGUCGCGCUGCUCUUCGCCGUCGCCGUCUUCCUCGCCUGCUUGCCGCCCGCCGCCACCGCCUCCUCGUCUUCCCGGUCAGCGGCGGCGGCAUUGCAACGAGUCGAGAUGGCGGCCGUGUACACCCCGCAGGACCUGCAGGAGAAGCCGGAUGUGACCAAGGACGCCGAGGAGGACGUGAGCACGACGGGGUUCGGCGCGGAGGAGGAGAGGGAGGUGCCCACCGGGCCGGACCCCAUCCACCACCACGGCAGGGGACCCAGGCGCCGGCAGUCGCCCUGA